rnacentral:rRNA from 1 species
AGCAGCCGCGGUAAUUCCAGCUCCAAUAGCGUAUAUUAAAGUUGUUGCAGUUAAAAAGCUUGUAGUUGAAUUUCGGGGUUAGUAGGUCGGUCAUGCCUCUGGUAUGUACUGGUCUCACUGAUUCCUCCUUCCUGAUGAGCCGUAAUGCCAUUAAUUUGGUGUUGCGGGGAAUUUGGACUGUUACUUUGAAAAAAUUUAGAGUGUUUAAAGCAAGCUAACGCUUGAAUACAUUAGCAUGGAAUAAUGAAAUAGGACGUUCGAUCCUAUUUUGUUGGUUUCUAGGAUUGACGUAAUGAUUAAUAGGGAUAGUUGGGGGCAUUAGUAUUCAAUUGUCAGAGGUGAAAUUCUUGGAUUUAUUGAAGACUAACUACUGCGAAAGCAUUUGCCAAGGAUGUUUUCAUUAAUCAAGAACGAAAGUUAGGGGAUCGAAGACGAUCAGAUACCGUCGUAGUCUUAACCAUAAACUAUGCCGACUAGGGAUCGGAUGAUGUUAAUUUUUUAAUGACUCAUUCGGCGCCUU